rnacentral:lncRNA from 1 species
CAAAAUGAACUUGGUGUCAAAGGGAAGGAAGAAGACUUGUUUUGAAAUUCCUUUCCCAAGACUAUUAAUCUACUUGGGAACGGGCUGUGGCAGUGAUGGCAAGUCCAUGAAAAGCCUGAGUUUACUUCCUUUGGCUCUGGAGUCAUUGCAGAUGGUUGGGAAAAAGCACUGUGCUAAGUCCUAUACAAAUAUCUCAUAUUAUGCUCACGACAACUCUGUAGAACGUUGAAUGGUCAGAAUUUUUGUUGGGAGAUCACAUUUUUUUAAAUGGGAUGUUUACAAUGGCUCAUGUGACUACCGAUGAUCCUGUGGCCUCUGGCUGAGAGAAAAAGGAAAGAAUGAUGGAGAAUGACCUAUGUGAACAGUGCUGUCUGCAGAAUAAUUACUGCAAACAGAAGAAUGCAUUAUUUCCUAGCCCUGAGAAUUCAUUCAAUUUCAUAUAUGACAAUUUACCUGAAAGCCAAAUAAAAGUAAAAAAAAAAAAUAGGGGUAAAAAUAC